rnacentral:rRNA from 1 species
CUACGGGUCGCACCAGUGGGGAAUAUUGGACAAUGGGCGAAAGCCUGAUCCAGCAAUACCGCGUGUGUGAAGAAGGCCUGCGGGUUGUAAAGCACUUUCAAUUGGGAAGAAAAGUUUGGGGCUAAUAUCCUCGAAUCUUGACGUUACCUUUAGAAGAAGCACCGGCUAACUCCGUGCCAGCAGCCGCGGUAAUACGGAGGGUGCAAGCGUUAAUCGGAAUUACUGGGCGUAAAGCGCGCGUAGGCGGUUUGUUAAGUCAGAUGUGAAAGCCCUGGGCUCAACCUGGGAACUGCAUUUGAUACUGGCAGACUAGAAUGUGGUAGAGGGAAGUGGAAUUCCAGGUGUAGCGGUGAAAUGCGUAGAUAUCUGGAGGAACAUCAGUGGCGAAGGCGACUUCCUGGACCAACAUUGACGCUGAGGUGCGAAAGCGUGGGUAGCAAACAGGAUUAGAUACCCUCGUAGUC